AAAACCCGGUCUCUCAAAUCCCUUGUGAGUUAAAUCUUGUAGUUGAACCUUCAAGUCCUUUAACUCCGCAGGAGCCAUCCUAUACGAAGCAAUCGAGAUGGGUAACAUACUAGGGACUAACUCAAUUCCAAAUUCAACUUCCCUCACUAGAGGUAGUCCAAGUAAUUCCUCUGGAAACACAUCUGUAAACUCACAUACCACUGGC
rnacentral:lncRNA from 1 species